CAGGACGAACGCUGGCGGCGUGCUUAACACAUGCAAGUCGAACGCUGAAGCACCAGCUUGCUGGUGUGGAUGAGUGGCGAACGGGUGAGUAAUACGUGAGUAACCUGCCCUUGACUCUGGGAUAAGCCCGGGAAGCUGGGUCUAAUACUGGAUGCUACAUGUCACCGCAUGGUGGUGUGUGGAAAGGGUUUACUGGUCUUGGAUGGGCUCACGGCCUAUCAGCUUGUUGGUGAGGUAAUGGCUCACCAAGGCGACGACGGGUAGCCGGCCUGAGAGGGUGACCGGCCACACUGGGACUGAGACACGGCCCAGACUCCUACGGGAGGCAGCAGUGGGGAAUAUUGCACAAUGGGCGAAAGCCUGAUGCAGCGACGCCGCGUGAGGGAUGACGGCCUUCGGGUUGUAAACCUCUUUCAGCAGGGAAGAAGCCACAAGUGACGGUACCUGCAGAAGAAGCGCCGGCUAACUACGUGCCAGCAGCCGCGGUAAUACGUAGGGCGCAAGCGUUGUCCGGAAUUAUUGGGCGUAAAGAGCUCGUAGGCGGUUUGUCGCGUCUGCUGUGAAAGCCCGGGGCUUAACCCCGGGUGUGCAGUGGGUACGGGCAGACUAGAGUGCAGUAGGGGAGACUGGAAUUCCUGGUGUAGCGGUGGAAUGCGCAGAUAUCAGGAGGAACACCGAUGGCGAAGGCAGGUCUCUGGGCUGUUACUGACGCUGAGGAGCGAAAGCAUGGGGAGCGAACAGGAUUAGAUACCCUGGUAGUCCAUGCCGUAAACGUUGGGCA
rnacentral:rRNA from 1 species